AUUGGUGAGGGUCGCCAGUAGCAACAGAUCAAGGUACAGGGAGUAACAAGACCACGGCCAUAGCCGCUAUGAGGAAUGACAUACUAGGUGAGAAAAGGAGGGUGUAGCAGACUUUAGAUGGGAGAGGAAAUGAGAAAGGCCAUGGGGUCUCAGAUAGGGGCAGAAAUAGUAGCCUUUACUCCUUAAUUCUCAAUUCCAGCACUCUCGAAGUGUCCUUCCUCUUCCUGCCUUUGGCCUCUGGGAUUUAUCCUAUUAUUAAUAACCCUAUUAAUAAUAACAAUGGUUAUUAUGAACAUUAUUCUGUCUUAUUAAGAAUAAUCUUACAAAGGAAAUUCUUUUAACUUGAACCUGUGUGAGUAGACAUAUAUUCCUCAAACCCCAAAGAGCCUUGAUUAAAGUAGUGACCCGUGUGAGCACCACUGGAAAUAAAAAUCACUCAACAUUCAGCAAAGAAGAUUGAGAUCAAAAAAGCUGGCUGAGAUUCGCACUGGGCAUCCUUAAGGUGAGCAAACUGGUGGAUUAACCUGCUGAGGUGCAUUUUUAUGAAGAAGAAAGAUUACUCCAUUUGAGAAGAUUUGAGAGGCAUGAUAAAUAAAAGGAGUUCCAGCUUCUCCAUCACCUAUGGAUUCAAUUUCCUAUGUUAAAUUCUCUCUGCUUGAAGGACCUUUAAUGAUGCCAGUUUUCUCGCUGGACCCUAACAGAUACAAGAUGAGCCCAGUAUCCAAAGCAGUGAGGUGGUUUCCAUCUGCUCACAGCACGUAUGUGACCCAGGAAGGACACUGCUGCAACCCAGGGUCUGCUGGAUUAUGCCCCUUGUCAAGACAACACAUUUCCCACACAUGCUGAAACGUGUGCCCUGGUAUUUUCCUGGGGUAUUAUUUGAGUUGCCUCUGAGGAUUUCAUUGUUUGUUAAGAUCUUAUAAAAAACAAAA